rnacentral:misc_RNA from 1 species
AAGUCGUAACAAGGUUUCCGUAGGUGAACCUGCGGAAGGAUCAUUAUUGAAUAAAUCUGGCGUGAGGUUGUAGCUGGCUCUCCGGAGCAUGUGCACACCUUCGUCACCUUUAUCUUUCCACCUGUGCACACACUGUAGUCCUGGAUACCUCUCGCCGCAAGGCGGAUGCAGAGCCUGCUGUGACUUUGGCAACAAAGACCAGUCUUGCUCUGAAUUUCCAGGGUCUACGAUCUUUACACACCCCUAAACGAAUGUCAUAGAAUGUAUAUCACUGGGCCUUUGUGCCUAUAAACCUUAUACAACUUUCAACAACGGAUCUCUUGGCUCUC